GCAAAUAUUUAAGCACUACAGACUGCAGCAUAGCCACUUUUCCAGUGUAUGCCCCCUUCCAUGCAUCUACAAUUAUUGCAUGUGUACAUUUAAGACUUUUAAUAGUCUUAGAACUCAUUUGGCAAGAUGUCACACUCACCAAUUUGGCAGUAGUGCAGAACACUGUCAGCAGUCUCUGUUGUUUAAAUGCCCUUUAUGCCCAUUUCAGCAGCAUUUUUCUGAAUCUGUUGUCUUCUGCCAUCUUAGAAGGCAUUUAAGAAAUCAUGAAACAGUGGCUUGCCCAUAUAAGGAUUGCAGCUUUACCACUAAUGUGUACUCUACAUUCAAUUCUCAUAAAAGUAGAUCACACCAAGCAAGUGUUUCGUCAGACUUUAAAAAUGACAUUGUCAGUGAAGUUGCUCAACCCAGUAUUCCUGCAGUUGAUGGUGAUUUGAAUGAAGAACCUUCAGGUAUAGAUGAGGAUCCAUUGGGGGAUGAUGGUGUGUGUGACACUGACAAACUAAAACAAGAUCUCAGAAUGAAUUUAUCUUCCUUAUUUCUAAAGAUGCAGGCAAUCCUCCAUGUCUCAAACACAGCUACCCAGGAAAUAGUGGAGCAUUUAAAUCAGGUCUGCUUCUUAUCGCAGCCUUUGAUCAAGAAGGAAAUUCAAGAUAUAUUGCAGAGAAAUGGUUGCAAUUUGGCAGAAUCUGCACUGGAUGAGGUUGUAAGUGGAGUUAUGGACUCUAAUGUUAUAUUUACUAGUACUUCUAAUUGUGCAGAGUUAUCCACAUCGAAGCGCAGAAAAAUCUUUUUUGAGCACAACUAUCCAUGUGUAAUGCCAAUUGAGUAUCAGCUGGAGCAACUUGGACAUUCCAAAAUGUAUGUUCCUAUCCUUCGAAUGAUUCAGGAGUUGUUUAAGAACACAGACAUUCUAAAAAUAAUUACUGAUCCAAAUACCAAUUCUGGUCAAUAUGCAUCAUGUUGCAAUGGCUCUUAUUUCCUUGAAAAUGAAUUAUUUUCAACCGGUGAUCUCAUUUUACCCCUCCAGCUAUAUAUUGAUGAUCUUGAAAUUGCCAACCCACUUGGCACAUCACGUAAAAUUCACAAACUUUGUGCUGUUUACUGGGCAUUUGCCAAUAUGCCACCAAAACACAGAUCAACUUUACACAAUAUACAGCUAGCAUUGCUUGCAAAAGUGACAGACAUCCAUAAGCAUGGGUAUGCAGCUGUACUUGCUCCAUUAUUACGUGAUGUUCAUAUUCUUGAACAGGAUGGUGUCUUUAUUGAAAGAGCUGGUCGCAAUGUCAAAGGUACCAUCUUUUGUGUUUCUGCUGACAAUCUAGCCGCCCAUGGAUUAAGUGGCUUUGUGGAGUCAUUUAAAGAAGGCUAUGUUUGCAGAUUCUGCUUGGCCACAAGAGAACAGUUUAAAGCAACUGAAGCCAGGCAGUUUUCUCAAAGAACCAAAGACAGCCAUGACCUUCAUGUACAAAACCUUCUGGAAAGUGACACUUGCUCCAACCACUUUGGUGUUAAAGCUAGUUGUGUCUUGCGUGACUCCCUGGAUUACUUUCAUCCAAUCACAGGCUUUCCUCCAGAUGUACUUCAUGAUCUUCUGGAAGGAAUAGUUCCUGUGGAGCUUUCUCUCUGCAUUAAGACUAUGAUCCGGAUGAAGUACUUCACUUUAGAGUAUUUGAACCAAAAGAUUGCAUCAUUCCCAUAUCAGCACACUGAUAAAGUGGAUAGACCUCAUCCAAUUCCCAAAACAUUUUUGUCUCGAGGAACGAUAGGAGGGAAUGGACAUGAAAAUGCUACUCUGCUCCGACUGCUUCCAUUACUUGUAGGCAGUGUAGUACCAGAAGGUGAUGGUGCAUGGACAGUUUUGAUGGAACUGAAAGAGGUAGUGCAGUUAGCAUUAUGCCCAUCAUUUACUGAUGAAACCUUAGACUAUUUUCAGUCCAAAAUCAGUGAUCAUAAGCAAGUACUUCUGCAAACGUUCCCAGAGUUUAACCUUCGUCCUAAACAUCACUACGUGGAGCAUUACCCCACCAUGAUCAAGUGCUUUGGGCCCCUGGUGCAUGUUUGGACAAUGCGAUUUGAGGCCAAACACCGUUUUUUUAAACGAGUGGUGCAUGACGCUCAAAACUUCAAAAAUAUUUUGAAGACAAUGGCAGUCAGACACCAACACAUGAUGGCAUACAAUCUUGCUGCCCCUUCAUUUUUCAACCCUGAAACACAAGCGUCCAGUGUUGACUCUGUUCUGGUUUCAGCUCUACCAGAAGUAGCUCAGCUGCACAUCAGAAGACUAACAACUAGUGACACAAUAUACCAGACAUCAAAGGUUACCAUCAAUGGCACAGACUAUGUCUGUGGAAUGUUUUUGUCUGUCGGAGAGAGUGGUGGACUACCUAGGUUUUGCAGAGUAGAACACAUUUACCUUGUCAAUAGCACCAUUUCAUUCCUUUGUUCUGAUUGUGAGUCCUGGUUUUCAGAACAUCUUGGAUCCUAUGAGCUCUCACCUUCA
rnacentral:lncRNA from 1 species